rnacentral:rRNA from 1 species
UACGAAGGGGGCUAGCGUUGUUCGGAAUUACUGGGCGUAAAGCGCACGUAGGCGGACAUUUAAGUCAGGGGUGAAAUCCCAGAGCUCAACUCUGGAACUGCCUUUGAUACUGGGUGUCUUGAGUAUGGAAGAGGUGAGUGGAAUUCCGAGUGUAGAGGUGAAAUUCGUAGAUAUUCGGAGGAACACCAGUGGCGAAAGCGGCUCACUGGACCGAAUCUGACACUGAGGUGCGAAAGCUAGGGUAGCAAACGGG